GGGGUCGUUACGGAUUCGACAGGCAUUAUGAGAUCUGUUUUGCAACUCAUCGGCGGAUGUAAAACGACCAGUUAAAUAUAACUGCAAAAAAUACAAAUUCUUACGCAGUAGCUGCCUAAAAACCAGCCUGUGUGACUGCUGACCAAUCGCUUGUGCUGGGAAGCGGUCUUCAUUAAUAAGCAAGCUACGUUUAGUCAUUGUCUGACUGACUGAAAAGAGACCGAUAGACUCGCUUAGCUGGGGUUUGAGUUAUGUAUCACAGCUAAGUUAAAAUAAGACAUAACCUAUAGUUGUAGACAAAUAGGUUGGCAGAUGUUUGGACGUGGGUUCGACUCCCACCGGCUCCAUGA
rnacentral:tmRNA from 1 species